rnacentral:tRNA from 1 species
AGCCUGAGUAGUUCAACGGUUAGAACACUGAUCUCAUACAUUGGUAAUAAGAGUUCGAUUCUCUUCUCAGGCUA